GAGCAGAAAGAGCCCAGCAGUUCAGGGAGACUCUGCUUUGUUCUUUCCAAAACACACAGCCUGGGAAGCUGGCAGGCGGAUCCCACUGAAGCCCUCCAAACCUGGGAGAGAGGGAUGAAGGACCACAGGAGAAGCAGAGACAAAGAACUAAUAGAAUAAUUGGAGUCCGAAGGACCUGUAUAAAGAACAAAGAGAGUCUUCCUGAGCGAGGAUGCCAUGUCCCCUUUCAGUCUGUACUGAGCACUGAGAACAACAUGGCUGCUAAGCUCUGCACCCAGGAAGAUCUUUGAAAUCAGUGCCUGGAGAUCCCAGCAGAGACCAGUGCAUGGUGUACACAUGGUAAGAGACGGUUGCUGCCUCAAAGACUUACAAUCUAAAGAGACAAAAAUGGACAAAGGGUGGGAGAAAAGAAAAUAUUAUCACCUCAUCUUGCAGAACGCCAGCGAUCUGCGGACAUCUAGUAUGUGAAGGGAUGCCUCCCUGUUGUCGGUGUGUGGCUUGGGAAAGAAUACAGGGACAUAGAUUCCGAGUGCCUUUAAUAUCAUACAGGAGUCAUUCUGGGUGUGUAAGGAGAUGUCUGUGCUCUCUGAAAACAAUUUUAGCCCCUUGAAAGUUAAGUCUUCUACAGUCAUCUGAACUUCCCUGGGGAAGCCGGAGAGAUGGAACCAUGAAGCACUCCGCAUGACAACGGAUGUGGCGAUGGAGCAGGCCGCUGUGUUAGCAGAAUCCAGAGAAGCCUGCAGGGCCGUUAUGGCAAUGAGGAAACCUUCAGCUAUAUCUGCCUUAUAUUGUUCUUUUUUGUCAGCUGUAAUGUGCUCAAUAAAAGAUGACAUCUG